GCUGGGCAGGGAGGAGUGCUGCUUUGUUCUUCUGCCCUCCCAGCCCCGUGCCCCCAGCCUUGCAGGAGCUCUGCUGGCACACAUCGGCCCCGGGAGGCUGCACAAAGGAUGUCAUUGGUUUUUCUUCCGCUGCUGAGCCAGUGCUGGUGCCUCCUUCUGUCAGAGGGAACCAGAGCAAGGAAAGGGCUGAAGCCACGGCGUGGUUUCCUCUUCCAUUUCUACGUUAACUCGAUGAAGGAAACUUAACACACAAGAACAGAAGUCGAUCAUUUCGAUCCUUAACGUAUCACAUCUCGGUGAGCAGGUGCCUUCUUCAGGGCUUCUCCCCAGUCUUGGCUGCUAUCACCGCAUCGGUAACACCGGAACAUCGACGAUGCAUCUGUCCAAAAAUCAACGUUACAAAUUUCGUAUCAAAUUCAUUUGUAGUUCUCUUUUUUUUUUUUUUUUUCCAAUGUCUCUUGGUCCCAAGUUUAUUGAAGGAUUUUGUUGUUUUAAAUUAUCUGCUAUUGCUCGUUGGGAUGUUCCCUGUUGUCGCCGUGUUUCGUGGGCUGGUUCGGAGACGGAGCUUGGGAAGGAUGUGCCACCGUGGGGAGGUUGUGAGUCACAGGGAUGCCCCCGGGCAUGAUGCCCUCCAUGGCUGCUGGUAUUCCUCCUGGUGCCACGCUGACCAUCCCGGGCGGGUACCUGG
rnacentral:lncRNA from 1 species